GUGGGGAAUUUUGGACAAUGGGGGAAACCCUGAUCCAGCGACGCCGCGUGAAGGAUGAAGGCCUUCGGGUUGUAAACUUCUUUUGGAGGGGACGAAUAAAUUGACGGUACCCUCAGAAAAAGCCACGGCUAACUACGUGCCAGCAGCCGCGGUAAUACGUAGGUGGCGAGCGUUACUCGGAAUUACUAGGCGUAAAGCGUAUGUAGGCGGUUGUAUAAGUCUAUGGUGAAAUUUCCUGGCUCAACUGGGAAGGGACAUAGAUACUGUAUGGCUUGAGUGUUGGAGGGUGAGACGGAAUUCCUGGUGUAGCGGUGAAAUGCGUAGAUAUCAGGAGGAACACCGAUGGCGAAAGCAGUCUCCUGGCCAAAUACUGACGCUGAGGUACGAAAGCUAGGGUAGCAAACAGGAUUAGAAACCCGUGUAGUCC
rnacentral:rRNA from 1 species